AAAAAAACAAACCCUGGAUUUUCGUGUCCAACGUUUGACUAUCCGUCUUAUAUGAAAUUAUUUUAUAAUUAGUAUUUUUAUUGUUGUUAGAUGAUAAAACAUGAUUGAUACUUUAUGCUUGACUUGUCUUUUUAAUUUUUUUUAUAUUUUUUUAGUAUUUUUUUAUAUUUUGUCAAACAUUGGACAUGGAAACCUAAGGUUUGUCUUUUU
rnacentral:pre_miRNA from 1 species